UACGUAGGGGGGCAAGCGUUUGUCCCGGAAUCAUUGGGCGUAAAGAGCGUGUAGGCGGCCAGAUAAGUCCGCUGUGAAAUCUCGAGGCUCAACUUCGAGCUGUCGGUGGAAACUGUCUGGCUAGAGUCCGGAAGAGGAGAGUGGAAUUCCUGGUGUAGCGGUGAAAUGCGCAGAUAUCAGGAGGAACACCGGUGGCGAAGGCGGGUCUCUGGGCAGUAACUGACGCUGAGGAGCGAAAGCGUGGGGAGCGAACAGG
rnacentral:rRNA from 1 species